CCCCUAGUAACUGCGAGUGAAGCGGGAAAAGCUCAAAUUUAAAAUCUGGCMBUCUUUGAUUGUCCGAGUUGUAAUCUAGAGAAGUGUUAUCCGCGCUGGACCGUGUACAAGUCUCCUGGAAUGGAGCGUCGUAGAGGGUGAGAAUCCCGUCUUUGACACGGACUGCCAGGGCUUUGUGAUGCGCUCUCAAAGAGUCGAGUUGUUUGGGAAUGCAGCUCAAAAUGGGUGGUAAAUUCCAUCUAAAGCUAAAUAUUGGCGAGAGACCGAUAGCGAACAAGUACCGUGAGGGAAAGAUGAAAAGAACUUUGGAAAGAGAGUUAAACAGUACGUGAAAUUGCUGAAAGGGAAACGCUUGAAGUCAGUCGCGUUGUCCAGGGAUCAACCUUGCUUUUGCUUGGUGCACUUUCUGGUUGACGGGUCAGCAUCAAUUUUGAUUAUUGGAAAAAGAUUAGGGGAAUGUGGCAUCUUAGGAUGUGUUAUAGCCCUUGGUUGCAUACAAUAGUUGGGAUUGAGGAACUCAGCACGCCGCAAGGCCGGGUUUUUAACCACGUACGUGCUUAGGAUGCUGGCAUAAUGGCUUUAAUCGACCCGUCUUGAAACACGGACCAAGGAGUCUAACAUGCCUGCGAGUGUUUGGGUGGAAAACUCGAGCGCGCAAUGAAAGUGAAAGUUGAGAUCCCUGUCGUGGGGAGCAUCGACGCCCGGACCAGAUCUUUUGUGACGGUUCCGCGGUAGAGCAUGUAUGUUGGGACCCGAAAGAUGGUGAACUAUGCCUGAAUAGGGUGAAGCCAGAGGAAACUCUGGUGGAGGCUCGUAGCGAUUCUGACGUGCA
rnacentral:rRNA from 1 species